GAUGAAGAACGUAGCGAAAUGCGAUAAGUAAUGUGAAUUGCAGAAUUCAGUGAAUCAUCGAAUCUUUGAACGCACAUUGCGCCCGCCAGUAUUCUGGCGGGCAUGCCUGUUCGAGCGUCAUUACAACCCUCAGGCCCCCGGGCCUGGCGUUGGGGAUCGGCGGAAGCCCCCUGCGGGCACAACGCCGUCCCCCAAAUACAGUGGCGGUCCCGCCGCAGCUUCCAUUGCGUAGUAGCUAACACCUCGCAACUGGAGAGCGGCGCGGCCACGCCGUAAAACACCCAACUUCUGAAUGUUGACCUCGAAUCAGGUAGGAACACCCGCUGAACUUAAGCAUAUCAAUAAGCGGAGGA
rnacentral:misc_RNA from 1 species